AAAAUAACAUUCUUAA
rnacentral:misc_RNA from 1 species